UCCAACAAUGACAACUAAGCUCAAACCCAACAGUUACAACUAAGCUCAAACUCAACAAUGAUUAAUAAACUCAAACUCAACAAUGACAUCUAAGCUCAAACCCAACAAUUAAAACUAAGCUCAAACCCAACAAUGAUCAAUAAACUCAAAACCAACAAUGACAACUAAGCUCAAACCCAACAAUGAUAAAUAAACUCAAGCCAAACAAUGACAAAUAACCUCAUACCCAACAAUGACAACUAGGCUCAAACCCUAUGCAACUAUUACAACUAAGCUCAAACCCAACAAUGAUAAAUAAACUCAAAUCCAACAAUGACAACUAAGCUCAAACCGAACAAUGAUGAAUAAACUCAAGCCAAACAAUGAUAAAUAACCUCAAACCCAACAAUGACAACUAGACUCAAAGACAACUAAGCUCAAACCCAACAAUGACAACUAAGAUCAAACCAAUCAAUGACAACUUGGCGCAAACCCAACAAUUACAAUUAAGCUCAAACCCAACAAUGAUUACUAAGCCCAAACCAAACAAUGACAACUAAGCUCAAACCGUACAAUGACAUCUAAGCUCAAACCCAACAAUUAAGCUCAAACCCAACAAUGAUAAAUAAACUCAAACCCAACAAUCACAACUACAAUGUUAUAAGCUCAAAGCUAUCAAUGCUGACUGAAAGUAAAAACAGCUUGCCAUAAAUUAUAUGAUAAUUACCAGUGGACUGUACAAACUAAUAUACCAGGUUUACAUGUCACACUGAUAAUUACCAGUGUACUGUACAAACUAGUAUACCAGGUUUACAUGUCACACAGAUAAUUACCAGUGGACUGUACAAAAUAGUAUACCAGGUUUACAUGUCACACAGAUAAUUACCAGUGGACUGUACAAACUAAUAUACCAGGUUUACAUGUCACACAGACUUAUAUUAAUGGCUCAUGUGUUCAGCCUUGUUAUAGCUAGCUUUGUGAUUAGUUGUAAUAUAUUCAACGUGGUAUACAUGGAAAGGAUAAAACAACAGACUACACGCUUUUGUCAGAUCUCUCAUAAACAUCUGCUACAAUAGUCAGAAAUCACUGACUUUCUCUUAUAUAUUCCAAAUAUUUGCAGGAGUUGGGAAGACCUCAUUAGUUCAUCUUAUUUGUCACAAUGAGACAACAAGUAAUCCUGGCUAGACCAUCAGAUGUUCUGUGGAGGUCAAGCUACAUGAGUACAAAGCGGGAACCCCUUCACAGAAAACCUACUUUGCAGAAUUAUGGGAUGUUGGUGGAUCUACUAGCCUUGAAAAUAGCUGUGCAAUAUUUGAUAAUCCCGUACAUGGUAACAUUCUUGUCCAUAACCUGACGAACAGAAAGUCACAUCAUAAUCUACGAAAAUGGUUACAGGAGGUUCUAAACUGUGACAACCCCAAGGACAACAAUGGGUAAGGCACUGAAAUGAUUACAGAAAUAUUGUUGAAGAUUUUCUAAGAAACGAAAAAA